CGUUACCAUCUUUGGCUGUCAAAUAUAUUUCUGUGCUACAAUUUUAGCUUAGGACCCUUAUGUGUAUCAUUUCUACAUAGAAAUAUUGUCCAAGAAAGGACUUGAAUAGGUUGUCCAUUUACUACUCUCACAUGGCAUCAUCUGAAGAUAACUCUUUGGGUUACUAUUUAUGUAGUAUGCACGUGUAAAAAUAAAUGCCAAGCCACUUAGUUGAGUUUUAAAGUAUGAUUCGUGCACCAAGAUACUUGUAGAAGAUACUAUUGCAGCUUAUGAUCUGUUCGGGAUCUCUACAGUGCAAUUGUUUAAGAGAAUUAGACAAUUAUAGUAUUGUUUCUUCCCAAUUAUUAUUUGGAAAAAUAGGCGGCAUGCACUAGAAUCAAGCCUAACCGCUUGGCUUGUUAUUACAUUGUGCUUCUACAUUACAUUGCUUCACUGUUUGAAUUUCAUCUCUAUUUUUGUUAGUAGUAAUAGUUAACAUGUUUGUGUUAUGCAUUAGUAAACUUUUUUUGCUUGUAAGUUUCAAAGUAUACACACUAUUUUUAAUGUGCAAAGUGGCAUGCUACUUAUUUCAGUUUAUUGUUGCAAAAUUAGCCAUUUCGGUUUGUUGUAGGUCAGCAUGGUACAAGCCUACAAGGAGAAAGUUUAUCCAAAAAACAAGUUGAACUGCUGCAGCAUGAGCCAGAAGUUGGUUAUGAGCUACAAUAUAAGGUUCCCUUCCAGAGUCUCCCAUGCUAUAUCGUGAAUUUUCCCAAGCAAAGCACAUGCCAGGCGCCAAUAUGCCACCGGGGUAGCCAUUAAAAUACUUAAAAUCAACUCCAAGGCUCAUCGAACGUUAUCCAGUGCUUCACCGUGUUUCUGAACUCCCUAAAGCAGAUGUUGUCAUGUUGGUCAGUUUGGU